CCUACGGGUGGCAGCAGUGAGGAAUAUUGGUCAAUGGACGGAAGUCUGAACCAGCCAUGCCGCGUGCAGGAAGACGGCUCUAUGAGUUGUAAACUGCUUUUGUACAAGGGUAAACCUGAAUACGUGUAUUCAGCUGAAAGUACUGUACGAAUAAGGAUCGGCUAACUCCGUGCCAGCAGCCGCGGUAAUACGGAGGAUCCAAGCGUUAUCCGGAUUUAUUGGGUUUAAGGGGUGCGUAGGCGGAUUGAUAAGUUAGAGGUGAAAUGUCCGAGCUUAACUCGGGAACUGCCUCUAAUACUGUUGAUCGAGAGAGUAGAUGCGGUAGGCGGAAUGUAUGGUGUAGCGGUGAAAUGCUUAGAGAUCAUACAGAACACCGAUUGCGAAGGCAGCUGACCAAUCUAUAUCGGACGUUGAGGCACGAAAGCGUGGGGAGCAAACAGGAUUAGAUACCCUUGUAGUG
rnacentral:rRNA from 1 species